rnacentral:misc_RNA from 1 species
GUAGGUGAACCUGCGGAAGGAUCAUUAACAAUUCCAAAACAACACUCGUCUUCCCUUACACACACACGCACAAUACUACCUUUUGAAGGGAAAGCUUCCGAGCUUUUUCAAAAGGGGGUGUGUGUGUGUGUUUGGGUCAUGACAAAAAUCUUUCACACGAACAUUUUGAUUGACAACAAAGGGGUACCAUAUUACCACAUUAAAAUAGUAGUAAAAAUAAUUAUAAACAACUUUUAACAAUGGAUCUCUU